rnacentral:rRNA from 1 species
AUGGUUUAUAAUUGGACUCCACCGAUCAUUACGCAACUCCGGAAAAGGCAUCUUUUGAAAAAGAAACAGUUGGUGAAGAUUUGCAGAAUAUUCGGCUGGCGAGAUGGUACACAGGCGAUCAUUUCAGCAAGGCCAUUGCAAACGAGAGUGAUCAUCGGCGUCUCAAUCAGGGUGUGGACAAGACCAUUUGAGUGGAGGACAAGAAGAAGUGCAAUUUUGUUCCUUAAUGGACGGGGUGGAUGGUUGACCUGCUGGGUGAUCAUCUCUUCUCUCUUCCAUCCUCUUGAUUUACUUACCCUUAUCACCUUAUCACGUGAGCUUUGUCUGAUGUUUACGUUUGCUGUUGUUUUCCGUUCUCCACUGGCGCACUGUUGUGCACCAUGGAAUGUGUCUGUCGUCUUAAUUCGGAACUUGGUAGCGUGUGAGCUCUGGCACUGGCAGGCCGGCUGGUUCAUCACUCUCCUCUGA